rnacentral:rRNA from 1 species
UGGGGAAUUUUGGACAAUGGGCGAAAGCCUGAUCCAGCAAUGCCGCGUGUGUGAAGAAGGCCUUCGGGUUGUAAAGCACUUUUGUCCGGAAAGAAAUCCUUGGCUCUAAUACAGUCGGGGGAUGACGGUACCGGAAGAAUAAGCACCGGCUAACUACGUGCCAGCAGCCGCGGUAAUACGUAGGGUGCAAGCGUUAAUCGGAAUUACUGGGCGUAAAGCGUGCGCAGGCGGUUUGCUAAGACCGAUGUGAAAUCCCCGGGCUCAACCUGGGAACUGCAUUGGUGACUGGCAGGCUAGAGUAUGGCAGAGGGGGGUAGAAUUCCACGUGUAGCAGUGAAAUGCGUAGAGAUGUGGAGGAAUACCGAUGGCGAAGGCAGCCCCCUGGGCCAAUACUGACGCUCAUGCACGAAAGCGUGGGGAGCAAACAGGAUUAGAUACCCUGGGUAGUCCACGCCCUAAACGAUGUCAACUAGUUGUUGGGGAUUCAUUUCCUUAGUAACGUAGCUAACGCGUGAAGUUGACCGCCUGGGGAGUACGGUCGCAAGAUUAAAACUCAAAGGAAUUGACGGGGUCAUAGCUG